rnacentral:lncRNA from 1 species
CACACACCUCUUCAACAUGCCUGUCUAGCAUUGAUGGGUAUGUCUGUCUUCUAAGCUUUCAAGUUUACAACUGUACACCACCGCCUCAUCUAUUUCCUAUCUAUUCUCAUCCCUUUCGUUGGUCUUUACACUUCUAACUAUUACUCCACCGCCUCAUUCAUUCUCUGUCUAUUCUCAUCUCUUUAUAAUCUUCACUCUUUUAGCUAUUUCUGCUUUUUGCUAAUUUCGCUUUUCCGCAUUGUAGUUUCUUAGAGGUAAAUAUCUUCAAUUUUCUACAUUCAUCUGUAAUUUCAUAUUUUUUUGACACAAUUCUUCACCGAAUUUUGGUUAGAAAGAAAAACCUCAUUCUAAAUUGAAAAUUAGAUUAGUUUUUGGUAUUACAAAGUAGAUUCAAAUAGAGUUGAAACAAAUACAUUGCUGAAAUUCAUCAUCUUUUUUGUUUUGUUGCUUUUUGAUUGUUGAAUUAUAGAUCUGAAGAAAAUUUUCUUGGAUAUUAUCUUUUCGUUUAAUUUGGUAAUGUAUCUAUCUAAUUUGGGUGCAAGUAAUUGUUAAAUACAUUGAAUUACUCCAACAAAGAAAAUAGCGGGAGUACAUAAUUCCUUGUUUUCUAGCGAGUUUUUGUUUAAGUUCUUAAGGUUUCUCUUUAUUUGGAAAAAAGAUUUAAACUUUAGGAACUAAGAAGAAAUAAUAAAGAGGAAGUAUGUGAUUUAUUUUUAAAAAUAAAAGUGUAGCUAUUGCGCAGUACAUCUUUCCAACAUUUCUCCUGAUAUACAUCGAUUCACUAUAUAUUGUAAGGAGAUAAUGGAGUAGACAAAUAUAGGGACAAGAAAUUACUUACAGUCUAUCAAAACAAGAUGGAAAAAGAAAAAAAGGUGAGUGUAUACGUUGUAGCUUUGUAUAUAUAGGAGGUAUAAAGGGACAAAAGCCCUGUCAAUUGUCAAUUAAGCAAUAACUUGAAAAUUUAAACUUAUGGUGUAGUUUCUAUGAAAAUUUUUAAAAGAUGCACUGCUUUCUAGAUUGACUCUGGAAAUAGUGUAAUGUUACUGCAAUAUAGUAAAUUAGUUUUUGAUACUUGAUGUUUAUGUACUCAAUCUUAGUAGUACUUACUAUAGCAAUUGGGGUGUAAAAAAAAUCUAAGAUUUACGAAAUGGAAUCAUGAAUCCAUGGAAAAUCUUUGUAGUUCAGUUCGUUGGCUACCUGCAUUUGUUAUCUUUUUAGUGAAAGUUCAAUUCACUGCCUUGUAAUUUAAUUCCCAUAUUCUCUUUUCCUACUCCCAAUUAUUUUUUAAAAGAAUCAUGGAUCUACGAGAAAUUUUAGCAUCUCAAUUGAUUGGAUACCAACAUUUUCACCUUGUUGGUAAAAGUUCGCUUUGCCCACCUUAUUGUUUCCUCUCCAUAAUCCAUUUCCCUACUCCCAUUUUUUUAAAAAAAGAAUCAUGGAUCCACCAGAAGCUAAAAAUAAUUAAGUUGUUUGGAUUUUAUAAAAUAGAAAAAAAUGGACUAGGUUAUUUCUUUUUCAUUUUAAAUCUAUUCAAUAAGACUAAGGUAGGUGGAUAGUUGAAUGAUAGAUGUUAAAGUUGAGCCGAGAUAUUUAUUCUUUUUGAAGUUUGUAUUUUUUUUGUUUGGGUAGUUCUUAAAUGGUUAAUAUUGAGAUGCUGUGAGUGAAUUACUUCUAUACAACUGAUCCUAAAGAAAAUCAAGAAUCUAAUACUGUUUUGUUGAUGGAUUCAGCUUCAGAUAACUCAUUUAACGGAAGAUUCCCACGCCCGGAGGUGCUGAAUUUGGGAAGUAUUACAGCCUACAUGCCUUGAAUGAUACCUGUAUUGGUAAGUACCGCUACAGCCAGUGCUGAAUAAAACUUGAGCGCAACAAAGCUCACCCCAAGAGCGCGCAGUAUUUUGAUACACUACGUUGAUCACUAUAAUUAAAAUGCUUGACAGGAGUUUUUAAUCAAUCACCCAAUCCAACUGUUUGUAAAGACAAGUAAUACUGAACAUGAUUGCUGUUGAUGUGUCUAUACUGAUGAUGCCUCAUGAUAGAAUCAUAAAUUGUUUAAUGGAAUUCAAAAA